AACGAACGCUGGCGGCAUGCCUAACACAUGCAAGUCGAACGAGACCUUCGGGUCUAGUGGCGCACGGGUGCGUAACGCGUGGGAACCUGCCCUUAGGUUCGGAAUAACUCCCCGAAAGGGGUGCUAAUACCGGAUAAUGUCUUCGGACCAAAGAUUUAUCGCCUUUGGAUGGGCCCGCGUUGGAUUAGCUAGUUGGUAGGGUAAAAGCCUACCAAGGCGACGAUCCAUAGCUGGUCUGAGAGGAUGAUCAGCCACACUGGGACUGAGACACGGCCCAGACUCCAACGGGAGGAGGAGUUGGGGAAUAUUGGACAUUGGGCGAAAGCCUGUCCCGGCAUGGCCGGUUGAGGGAUAAAGGCCUAGGGUUGUAAAGCUCUUUUACCCGGGAUGAUAAUGACAGUACCGGGAGAAUAAGCUCCGGCUAACUCCGUG
rnacentral:rRNA from 1 species